rnacentral:rRNA from 2 species
AACGAACGCUGGCGGCAUGCCUAACACAUGCAAGUCGAACGAGACCUUCGGGUCUAGUGGCGCACGGGUGCGUAACGCGUGGGAACCUGCCCUUAGGUUCGGAAUAACUCAGAGAAAUUUGAGCUAAUACCGGAUAAUGUCUUCGGACCAAAGAUUUAUCGCCUUUGGAUGGGCCCGCGUUGGAUUAGCUAGUUGGUGGGGUAAAGGCCUACCAAGGCGACGAUCCAUAGCUGGUCUGAGAGGAUGAUCAGCCACACUGGGACUGAGACACGGCCCAGACUCCUACGGGAGGCAGCAGUGGGGAAUAUUGGACAAUGGGCGAAAGCCUGAUCCAGCAAUGCCGCGUGAGUGAUGAAGGCCUUAGGGUUGUAAAGCUCUUUUACCCGAGAUGAUAAUGACAGUAUCGGGAGAAUAAGCUCCGGCUAACUCCGUGCCAGCAGCCGCGGUAAUACGGAGGGAGCUAGCGUUGUUCGGAAUUACUGGGCGUAAAGCGCACG